AGGACCAAGUCAUCCCUUUGCAGGAAUUACCUAUGAAGGAAACUGGAAACUCUGUGGUGUCUCUCUGGCAUCUUUCCCUCCAGAUGGUGCCUCUGAACCUCUUCUGAAGGGGCUCGUGCAGAGCGGAGCUUAGCUGUAUUGCUGAUCCCAUAGAUUAGCUUCCUUCAGUUUCUGGAAGCAGGAACGUCGGUUGAUCAGGCUGCAGUUAUGUGGAGGAUGUAAGUACUGGACCCGCUGGUGACCACAAGGGCAACAAGAAAUUUUCACCACUCCAGUCAGUGAAGACUUUAUCAAUUAGUAUGAGAGACAGAGAUACUAUCACUAAAACCACGGAGGAAGUCCUGGAAUCUAGUCCCUGACCAUAGAACUGCUGUGGCUUAGUUGCGUGAAACUGAGUUUCAAGAUUCAAGAUAUUGCGCAGAUUGUUCUGUGGUGAAUUCUUCAGAUUCAGUGACUUUGGCAGUAGGGAGCCCAUGGAUGCUGAACUAACUAGAUCUCUGCAGCCAGUCGUGCCAUCACAUGGAAGGAGGAUUCUUUCUUCUAGAUCAGUGUUUACCCAACAGUCACCCUUGUUGUACAGGUGAUUUUCUGGAUGUGUGCCUGUUCUCUGUACAUGCCUUUGAUUGCUUUUGCCUUUAUAUUUAACUUGUUCUUUUGCUAACUUCUUCAUG